rnacentral:rRNA from 1 species
UACAGAGGGGGCGAGCGUUGUUCGGAAUUACUGGGCGUAAAGGGCGCGUAGGCGGCCGACUAAGUCAGACGUGAAAUCCCCUGGCUCAACCAGGGAACUGCGUCUGAUACUGACCGGCUGGAGUUCGGGAGAGGGAUGUGGAAUUCCAGGUGUAGCGGUGAAAUGCGUAGAUAUCUGGAGGAACACCGGUGGCGAAGGCGGCAUCCUGGACCGACACUGACGCUGAGGCGCGAAAGCCAGGGGAGCAAAC